GUUGGGCCUGGGAAUGAAGAGCUCUGGCUGCAGAAGGUGUAUGAAUUGCAGCACUAACUCUAUGGGAUUUGUAGCAGUGGGGCUAGUACUAGCAGGCGUCUAACAUGCAGGCUGGUUGUCCUGAGUCACCAUCUGGAAGGCUGGGCUGAGUUUCCAGAGGAACCAGCAGAGAAAAGAGCUCAUCGAGGCUCAGCUUGCACUUUCUCAAGCUGAGGCGUACAAUGGAAGCAGGACGGCAAGGAGCAGAUUCCUACCUCCUAAAUCUUGUGGCCAUUAGUUCCCCCUCCUUUGUUUACCUCUCCCAUUUUACUGUAGUUUCUCACCAGUUGAACAAGGCAAUGAGGUCACUGUUUGGAGAUCGGGGUGCAGAAGUCAGCCUGGGUGUGAAGGCAGAAACUAAGCAGGAGGGUUUGUCGGGGCAGAGGAAUGGGGGGACUGUACCCCAGUACAGGACUAGUAGUGGGUGCACUGGGUGAGUUUAAUAACACCUUAAACUUCCCUUUCUUCAGUACUGUUGCACAAAGCAAUUGGGUCAAAACUUGACAGGCAGCAGUGUUCUGCUGCCUUGCUUUUUUUAUUUUAUUUUAAGGAAAGAAGAAAAUUAGAAAAAAAACUAGUCUUUUGCAGAGACAACAAAAGUCACAGUUAAGUAUUUGCCCUGUCUUUCUUUCCCUUCUUCCCUCUCUUCCCAGCAUUUUGCACUUACAGAUGCAGAUUUGUGCUUCCCUGCCCAAGGAGCCAAAAGUUUUACAAACCGUUUUGCAUCCAGUCGGUGAAAAGCGAGCGUGGGGCUUCAGUUUGGAGCAGAGUCACUGGAAGCAGGAGAGACUUUGCACAGGUGGGGGCACCCAGUCACAUUUGACCAUCCAGAAGCAGCUGAGUCAGUCUGUUAGAGCGUUCAUGCUCCUGGCAAGACAGCCGCAGGCAGAUGCAUCUCAGGUGGAACGCACUGGUUCCUGGAGUCAGCUCUUUCCUGAGGAAAAGGCUAGAAGAGAACUGAGCUCUGCUUGCUGGCAAACCAAGGGUGACCAUGACAACUGCAGGAAUGUGGUGGAUCCUGAGAGACAGAGAACAUGGAAGAUCUGGAGGAACCUGCUGAUAGGAGAACCCUUCCGGUUCCUGCCCAGCUGGUGA
rnacentral:lncRNA from 1 species